rnacentral:rRNA from 1 species
AUUGAACGCUGGCGGCAUGCCUUACACAUGCAAGUCGAACGGUAACAGGUCUUCGGAUGCUGACGAGUGGCGAACGGGUGAGUAAUACAUCGGAACGUGCCCAGACGUGGGGGAUAACGAGGCGAAAGCUUUGCUAAUACCGCAUACGAUCUAAGGAUGAAAGCAGGGGACCGCAAGGCCUUGUGCGUUUGGAGCGGCCGGUGGCAGAUUAGGUAGUUGGUGGGAUAAAAGCUUACCAAGCCGACGAUCUGUAGCUGGUCUGAGAGGACGACCGGCCACACUGGGACUGAGACACGGCCCAGACUCCUACGGGAGGCAGCAGUGGGGAAUUUUGGACAAUGGGCGAAAGCCUGAUCCAGCAAUGCCGCGUGCAGGAUGAAGGCCUUCGGGUCGUAAACUGCUUUUGUACGGAACGAAAAGGCUCUGGCUAAUACCUGGGGCACAUGACGGUACCGUAAGAAUAAGCACCGGCUAACUACGUG